UGCAAACUCAAAAUCCUAAUUGUCUAAUCAUCGUGUGGAUGCCAAAAAGGUGAAGACAAAUCAGGUAAGCUUUUUCUCUCUCAACUUUUUUUUUCUUUUUUUUUUUUUUUUUUUUUUGGAUGUCGAUACGUGACGCCUCCCCUGGGCGCCUAGGCAGCGCCUAGUUGAAGGCGCCUCCCCUGGAGGCUUUCCAAGCAAGGUGCCUGGAUUUUGCCUCACCCAGGCACCUCUUGGCAACACUGGACAGUAUAAGAGUAUUAAUACAUCACAAAACAGAGUGUUGUACCAUGCACAGAUGAAAAAAGUGCAGCUAAUAAUGACAACGCAUCUACAUGAGGCAUGUCCCUAUCAACGUUCACUACAAUAUCACAGCAAGCGCAUC
rnacentral:misc_RNA from 1 species